GAUGAACGCUAGCGGCAGGCCUAACACAUGCAAGUCGAACGGUAACAGGUGUAGCAAUACAUGCUGACGAGUGGCGCACGGGUGCGCAACACGUAUGCAACUUACCUCUAACUGGGGAAUAGCUUCGAGAAAUCGAAAUUAAUGUCCCAUAAUAAUUUGAUCAGGCAUCUGGUUAAAUUUAAAAUUCCGGUGGUUAGAGAUAGGCAUGCGUCCUAUUAGCUUGUUGGUGAGGUAACGGUUCACCAAGGCUACGAUAGGUAGGAGGCCUGAGUAUGGUUAUCCCCCACACUGGGAUUGGGACACGGUCCAGAGUCCGAUGGGAGGCAGCAGUGAGGAAUAUUGGUAAAUAGUCGCAAGACUGAACCAGCCAUGCCGCGUGCAGGAUGAAGGCCAUCUGGGUUGUAAACUGCUUUUAUACAGGAAGAAACGACCCUUGCGAGGGGCAUUGACGGUACUGUAUGAAUAAGCACCGGCUAACUCCGUGCCAGCCGCCGCGGUAACAC
rnacentral:rRNA from 1 species